GGAAAUAUACUGGAAAAAAUUUAAAAAAAGGAUCAAUCACAAUCAGAGGCACAAAGUGUGACUCGUGCAGAUUCGGAUUCGACUUCGUCAUCAGAUGAUGAUUGUGCAAUAUCAAUGAGAACUCUAUCAACAUCACAUAACAAUAAAAUAAAAUUUACAGAAGAAACGGUAUCUUUGAGAAAGAAAAAUAGAGCGUUGGAAGCCGAAAAUUUAAAAUUAAAAGAAGAAAAUAAAGAAAUAAAAAUAGCUAGCGCAAAAGAUUUAAAAGACAUAAAAGACAUGACGACGACAAUUUUAAGACUUUUAAAAGUUAAUGAACGGGAAA